GGGCGUUUAGCUCAGCUGGUUAGAGCGCUACAAUCACACUGUAGAGGUCGUAGGUUCGAGUCCUUCAACGCCCACCA
rnacentral:tRNA from 2 species